rnacentral:rRNA from 1 species
UACGAAGGGGGCUAGCGUUGCUCGGAAUUACUGGGCGUAAAGCGCACGUAGGCGGCUUUUUAAGUCGGGGGUGAAAUCCUGGAGCUCAACUCCAGAACUGCCUUCGAUACUGGAAAGCUCGAGUCCGGGAGAGGUGAGUAGAACUGCGAGUGUAGAGGUGAAAUUCGUAGAUAUUCGCAAGAACACCAGUGGCGAAGGCGGCUCACUGGCCCGGUACUGACGCUGAGGUGCGAAAGCGUGGGGAGCAAACAGG